UACGGAGGGGGCUAGCGUUGUUCGGAAUUACUGGGCGUAAAGCGCACGUAGGCGGGCUGUUAAGUCGGGGGUGAAAUCCCGGGGCUCAACCCCGGAACUGCCUUCGAUACUGGCAGCCUGGAGGUCUGGAGAGGUGAGUGGAAUUCCGAGUGUAGAGGUGAAAUUCGUAGAUAUUCGGAGGAACACCAGUGGCGAAGGCGGCUCACUGGCCAGAUACUGACGCUGAGGUGCGAAAGCGUGGGGAGCAAACAGG
rnacentral:rRNA from 1 species